rnacentral:tRNA from 1 species
GGUGGCUCAGUGGUAGAGUGCUUGCCUUGCAUGCAUGAGGCCUGGGUUCAAUUCCUCAGUACCA